GACAGAGGGGGCAAGCGUUGCUCGGAAUUGCUGGGCGUAAAGGGCGCGUAGGCGGGAUGGCAAGUCGGUCGUGAAAUCCCUCGGCUCAACCGAGGAACGUCGAUCGAUACUGCUGUUCUUGAGGAUUGCAAAGGAGACUGGAAUUCCCGGUGUAGCGGUGAAAUGUGUAGAGAUCGGGAGGAACACCGGUGGCGAAGGCGGGUCUCUGGGCGAAUUCCGUGACGCUGAGGCGCGAAAGCGUGGGGAGCAAACGGG
rnacentral:rRNA from 1 species